UUCGGCAACAUGUGCUAACGUGCAGUCACCUGACUUCCUGGCUCUGAUAUUUAAGGAUCUUCACGUCGACAGCCUUUGGGGAUUUGGAGCCGGCACUCGUUGUGAUAUGUCGGUUGACUUUGCUCUGCUCUCACAGCUAUGGGCUCAGUCCAGCUCACCCUGAGCUGGCUCCCCAAGAAAGAUGACAUCACCACCCAGACUUGACCUUGCCGAAUGUUCCAGAAUAUGACUCACGGACAACUGCCAGCCAAUCAAAUUUUCCUACCUGCGGAAGGCAAAAACUGACAUGGGACCUUAGG